rnacentral:misc_RNA from 1 species
GCAUUCCAAUGCAAAAUAAUGACUGCACAGCAUCAUCAGAAAAACCAGAAGCAAAAUAGUCAAAACAUCAUGCAACUUCAGAAAAAUGAAAUGUUGAAUCCGGGUACUGAAAAAAUUCUUUUGUAAGAGUUGCAAUGUCAGAGUGCAGAGAUUAUCUAUUAUGAAAUAACAUCACAACGCACACCAACUGAUUAUGAAAUAAACAAUGCCAUAACUGUUCAUUUUUUAAUAAAUUUUUUUAAAAAAAAUUAAAAUUUAUGUGGGCCCACAAUAUAAAAAACAAUAACUUCAUCUUAAUUAACUGCCACAUAAGUAGUUAAGCACCCUAACUACAAUUUUGACCAUCGGACAAAAUUACAACUAACCUUUGAAAUUGGGACUAUUUAGCUAAAAUUGAAAGGAUAGAAUAUAAUUGCAAAAACUUGGAAACGUUUAGCUUUUUUAACCAUUAAGAAGAAGAGUUGGUCACAAUGGGAUUAUGAAUAAGAAAUGAAUUUCAAUCCAACAACAUGCAAAAAAGAAAUGAAAGCAGAAUCUAGGCAUACCUUUUCAAAAACUCUAAGAACCAG